UACGUAGGGUGCGAGCGUUGUCCGGAAUUAUUGGGCGUAAAGAGCUUGUAGGCGGUUUGUCGCGUCUGCUGUGAAAAUCCGGGGCUCAACCCCGGACUUGCAGUGGGUACGGGCAGACUAGAGUGUGGUAGGGGGAGACUGGAAUUCCUGGUGUAGCGGUGAAAUGCGCAGAUAUCAGGAGGAACACCAAUGGCGAAGGCAGCACUCUGGGACGGUACUGACGCUGAGACGCGAAAAGCGUGGGGGAGCAAACAGG
rnacentral:rRNA from 1 species